GCUUCUUCGAUUUCCAACUGAUCAAGCAACCACCCAAAAGCACACAAAAUCCAGUAACAGAUCGUCUAGUAUCAGGGCAUGCAGCCCAGUCACUAUAAGAAUAGCCAGUAACAGAGAAAUCAGCAUGAGCAUAAUAAAAUAAACCCAAGGAAGGAGUGCCCAUAAGGUAUCUCAGAACAUGCAGGGCAGCAGUCAUAUGGGGAAGUCUGGGGCAUUUGAGGAAUUGACUCAGAUGUUGGACUGCAAACCAUAUGUCAGGCUUAGUAUGAGUCAGGAACAGCAUCUUACCAACUAGACUCCUGUACUGGUCAGGAGAUGAUAAAAGGUCACCAUAAUCAGCAUGAAGUUUGACAUUAAUGUCCAAAGGAGACACAACAGAGGAGACAUUUGUACAAUCAAACUGAUGCAGUAGACUAGACUCCUGUACUGGUCAGGAGAGGAUAAAAGGUCACCAGUAUCACCAUGAAGUUUGACAUUAAUGUCUAAAGGAGAAACAACAAAGGAGACAUUUGCACAAUCAAACUGAUGCACUAAAUCAGAAAUAUACUUAUGCUGAUUAAGGAUCAUUCCACCAGGAACAACUGACAUUUCAAG
rnacentral:lncRNA from 1 species